UUUGUUUGGUGUUUAUUCUUUUGUACAAUUAUUUAUUUUACCUGUUUUAUCUUAUUGCAUUUGUGUACAUAUCAUUGUUGUAUCUGUUGGCUCUGUGGGGGUUGAUUGUUUGUUAGGGUGGGAUGUUUUAUGAGAGAUAAGCCCACUACCCAGGCUUGAGCGUACACACAGGUGUUAUAGUGGAUAGUCAUGAGGCUUGCGUGGCAU
rnacentral:lncRNA from 1 species